GACGAACGCUGGCGGCGUGCUUAACACAUGCAAGUCGAACGGAAAGGCCCCCACCUUGGUGGGGGUGCUCGAGUGGCGAACGGGUGAGUAACACAUGGGUGAUCUGCCCUGUACUUCGGGAUAAGCUUGGGAAACUGGGUCUAAUACCGGAUAGGACCAUGGUUUAGUGUCUCAUGGUGGAAAAAUUAUUGUUUUGGUGCAGGAUGAGCUCGCGGCCUAUCAGCUUGUUGGUGGGGUAAUGGCCUACCAAGGCGUCGACGGGUAGCCGGCCUGAGAGGGUGGACGGCCACAUUGGGACUGAGAUACGGCCCAGACUCCUACGGGAGGCAGCAGUGGGGAAUAUUGCACAAUGGGCGCAAGCCUGAUGCAGCGACGCCGCGUGGGGGAUGACGGCCUUCGGGUUGUAAACUCCUUUCGUUAGGGACGAAGCCACACCUUUUUUGGGUGUGGUGACGGUACCUUUGUUAAGAAGCACCGGCUAACUACGUG
rnacentral:rRNA from 1 species